rnacentral:tRNA from 1 species
UGGGCUGUGGCUCAGAGGUAGAGCACUUGCCUAGUAUGUGUGAGGCACUGGGUUUGAUUCUCAGCACUGCAA